rnacentral:rRNA from 1 species
CACGUAGGGCGCAAGCGUUGUCCGGAAUUAUUGGGCGUAAAGAGCUCGUAGGCGGUCUGUUGCGUCCGCUGUGAAAACUCGGGGCUUAACCCCGAGCCUGCAGUGGAUACGGGCAGACUAGAGGUAGGUAGGGGAGAAUGGAAUUCCCGGUGUAGCGGUGAAAUGCGUAGAGAUGGGGGAGAACACUCGUGGCGAAGGCGGCCAGCUAGACCAGUUCUGACACUGAGGCGCGACAGCGUGGGGAGCAAACAGG